rnacentral:tRNA from 4 species
GGAGUCGUGGCCGAGUUGGUCGAAGGCGCGGGCCUGUAGAGCCCGUUCCCCUAGCGGGACGCGGAGGUUCGAAUCCAUCCCGACUCCACCA